CGAGAAGUUGUGUUCUGUAAUUUUAUAUAACAUAAUUAUUUAAUGUAUUAUGUUUUCAGAAAAAAGGAAAGAACAUCAUUUUGGAAGGAGAUGCAACAUCUAUUUUGAAGCGCCUCGCAUCAGGCAAAGAAGAAUGCUCGUUAAUCAGACCUUAUAUAGUUGAUCGACUAUUCUAAGCAAAAAAUUUCAUGCACUGCAGGUUCAGCAGAAUUAGAAGAGAAGCCAAUAAUGUUGCUCAUCAGAUGGUGAAAGCAGGUUUCAACAGCGCAAAUAUCCAGUUUUGGGUUGAGGAAGUACCUGAUCGGGUGGUGCCUGGGGUUGAAGAGGACAGGAAUUGGAUGGAUCCACCGGGCUGACUUAGAACAGUGAGAAACUGGACGAUGGGAGAUGGUAGAUCUCACCCAUAAGAUGUUUGCAUGUCUUGUCUCAGGUGCUUUACGAUCUCUAAAAUGCUUUCAGAUGAAAGGGAAAGAGAUUUCGAGGGUUUGGCUGAAUGGCGUUAGUAUUCCAGGUUUGAUGAGAGAGUCUUUGGGAAAGGGGGCCUCUCAAGUCUCAACUGUUUUAUGUCUUCAAUGCUUUGGUUUUCCAAGGCUGAUGCCUUCAUUUCUCUGUCGGUUUGUGUUGCCCCCACGGCACUAUAUUGAACCUUUUUUUCUCUCUAAUAUAUUUGAACCAAACUGGAUUUUAUUCCAAAAAUGUAUUAUAGAUAAAUAAACUAAUGGAAAUGAUUGAC
rnacentral:lncRNA from 1 species